CAGAGAGGGAGAGAAGAACUGAUUGCAGAACCAAAAAUUAAUGGUAACUUAGGUACAAGUGCUCAUGACUUGAUCACAUUUAUAAUGUCCAAGCAGAAUAAAGUCGAGACCAGUAAUAGAUAUACUUGGUGCUUUAAUAGGGCCAGUUUCACAAAGCUGAAAACAAUUAUGAGGCAGAUCAGCUGGGAGGAAGAAUUUAAUCAGAAAAAUGUGAAUGAUAAUUGGGAAUAGUUUAAGAACAUCUUACUAAAUGCCCAAAAACCCACAGCCCCACAACUGAGGAAGAAGGCUGUGCUGCUUAAAAAAAACAACCUGGAUU